GGCCCCGUAGCUCAACUGAAUAGAGCAUCCCGACUAAGAAGUCGGGAAGGUUUCAGGUCCGAAUCCUGGCGGGAUUA
rnacentral:tRNA from 1 species